rnacentral:rRNA from 1 species
CCUACGGGGGGCAGCAGUGGGGAAUAUUGGACAAUGGGCGAAAGCCUGAUCCAGCCAUGCCGCGUGUGUGAAGAAGGUCUUCGGAUUGUAAAGCACUUUAAGUUGGGAGGAAGGGCAGUAAGCGAAUACCUUGCUGUUUUGACGUUACCGACAGAAUAAGCACCGGCUAACUCUGUGCCAGCAGCCGCGGUAAUACAGAGGGUGCAAGCGUUAAUCGGAAUUACUGGGCGUAAAGCGCGCGUAGGUGGUUUGUUAAGUUGGAUGUGAAAGCCCCGGGCUCAACCUGGGAACUGCAUCCAAAACUGGCAAGCUAGAGUACAGUAGAGGGUGGUGGAAUUUCCUGUGUAGCGGUGAAAUGCGUAGAUAUAGGAAGGAACACCAGUGGCGAAGGCGACCACCUGGACUGAUACUGACACUGAGGUGCGAAAGCGUGGGGAGCA